CAUGUCCCGGAGGAGGGGGAAAUGCAACCAAUCAUGGAGCUGGAGCCUGAAGAUGAAGAGUCUUUUUUACACCAGAUUGGUGUGGAGCCGAUAAGAGAAAGAGCGGGUUGGAUGAGGCAGGGUGUUAAAAACCCUGAAGAAAGAAGAUUAUCCCCAAAACAAGAACGGCAAGGUAAAGAAUAGACAUAUUACACACACAAACACACACACACAUAUACAGUGUGGACAAGAGGAACGAUCACAGUGACCUAAACAUGUUUUAUAAUUGCAUUUGUUUUGUUUUAGAUUUGAAAAACAAAUGCAAAAGAGAAAAAACAUUGAAAUGCUGUAAUGCCACUUUUUGGCCACAGGGUGGAGCUGUUACCCUGGUGUGAUCCUCGAGGGGAAGUGUUACCAGUUCUUCAGAGCGGCAAAGAAGGCUUCAGAUGCUGAGGUGCUUUCAUUGUGUUCUCUCUCAAAGAUGCACCAUGACAUCUUUUUAAAAUCAAACUACUAUUACAUUAAUGUGUAGAAUCCCACUCUCACUUCUUCUCUGUUUCGUUGCAGUUCUUCUGCCAGGAACAUUUCUCCGGUGGCCACCUGGCCUCCAUCACGAGCCAACACAUCCACAGAGAGGUGAUGAACAUGAUUCUGCGGCAAAACGGGGCCCUGACACGCACCUGGGUUGGAGGACUGCGAUAUUUGAAGACCGGCCGCUUUGUCUGGUUGGAUGGAUCCCACUGGGGCUAUGCUGAUUGGCUGUCAGGGGAGCCCAAUCACACAGCAGGCGUGGAGGAGUGUGUGGAAGUGCUGCCAUACGGAAAUGGGAAGUUCAAUGACUUCACAUGCUGGGAGCCUCAGGCUUUCAUCUGCUCCUUCCCUCAUUUCGUCUGAUUUGAUGCAGUUUGUUACUUUUUCUUUUAGUUUAAAAUCACAUCUUGAAAAGCAAAUGUACUUAAUGACUUAAAGAUGACAUCAUGUAUCGAAAACUAGAAAAUCAGGACUUUGCAUGUUGAAUAUUACAUUCAAAUAUUAGUUUUUUUUAUAACAAGGAUAUAAUAUCCUGUAAAUAAAGAAAUCAUGUUAUUUGUUGUUCUUGAGCUUGUUGUGAGUAUUACCAUUUUGAAAAAAGUAAACAUGAUGCACUUCAUUUAAGUUUACGUCGUGUGUGUGUUAAAGUGAUUCUACGAUAAGUACCAAAAAGUGUGUUUAGAUAUUAAGAUAUAUUUAUUUACAUGUAAAUGUACAUAUUUAAAUUGCACUAAUUGUUAAAACAUUGAGAACAAUGUUUGUGUGUCAGAAACCAACAUGCACUUUUUAGUACAAUUAAAUAUUCUUUACUCACCUGAAAAU
rnacentral:lncRNA from 1 species